rnacentral:snRNA from 1 species
AUACUUACCUUGUUGAGAGGAAGCCAGCUCAAGAAUUGGCUUCCUCAGCAUGGAGGGCCUGCAUUGCACAUCGCGGAGUCACUCUUUGCUCUAUUGUCCUUCGGGGCCAUAGUCGGCGGAAUUUUUGAUUUAAACCCACUUUUCAUUGUGCUG